ensembl:lncRNA
CGGCGGAGGAGGGGACGGCCGAGGGCCAGGGCGGGAGAAGUUGAGGCGCGGGGGGACCCGCCCGCCAAACUUUCUCGGGUCGGGCGGGUGCGAAGCUCCCCCCCGCCGGCCCCGCAUCGGCUUCAUCGUCGCUUCCCUGGUGCCCGCGGACGGACUUCACCUGGCGGCGGCUGCCCUUCCCGGCACAUGGGGUUGACCUGCGCGAGGAGCCGAGCCGAAACGUGACCCCCCCCCAGCUUCGGCGCGCGGGAGUUCAAGCGACCCGGCGGCCCCCCCCGCUCCCGGUAGCAGCUCGGCAUCCGGAGGGGAAACCGGAGUCGUGCUGAUUUUUUGCGAUGCUCUGAAAAGAAACCCUUCGGGGCGCGACACCCGAAAAUGCGGGACCCGCGCUGACGCCGGGGACGACGCGCCGCUGCGGACAUGUGCGUGGAGACCCGCGCGGAUGCGGUGUCCGGCUCCCGCCCAAAACGUCCGGCCCUCGGGCGCGGACCCGCCGGGAGGUGCGGAGGAGCGGCUCGCAGGGGCCUCGGGGAGGCGAUCAUGGCCGGAGGGAAGGUGGCUGGAGACAGCGCGGCCCCGAGGGAGGAUGACUGGGGCGAGCGAGCGGCGAGAAAGUUCAACUUCGGCGGCUUCCCCUGCCGGGGACGGUGGGCGUUUCUGGUGCUGCAGCUCCACAUGUUGCAAGCGCUGGCACAAGCAUAUUGAAGAAGUCAGGUGUAGAAAGUACCAUGUUAACUGGUAUCAAACUCUUGGAAGGUAGGACCAGCAGAGGGCAUCAAAGCGCAAGAUAUAUCCCACCAGGACUAACAGUGCUGCAUGGAGUACAGAGAACAGCUUCUCACCUAUACAUUACACUCCACCUUAUAAACUCAUUUCACAGGAUAUUCUUCUUCUGAGAUGUCAGUGAACAUUUUUUCAUUAAAUAAAAUGAUAAAAUGCAUUUUGCUCUUAAAUUUG